GCCAGGGGAGCUACACAUGCAGUCGAGCGAGAACUUCGGUUCUAGCGGCGGACGGGUUAGUAACGCGUGGGAACGUGCCCUUCACUACGGAAUAGUCCCGGGAAACUGGGUUUAAUACCGUAUACGCCCUUCGGGGGAAAGAAUUUCGGUGAAGGAUCGGCCCGCGUUAGAUUAGAUAGUUGGUGGGGUAACGGCCUACCAAGUCUACGAUCUAUAGCUGGUUUUAGAGGAUGAUCAGCAACACUGGGACUGAGACACGGCCCAGACUCCUACGGGAGGCAGCAGUGGGGAAUCUUAGACAAUGGGCGCAAGCCUGAUCUAGCCAUGCCGCGUGAGUGAUGAAGGCCUUAGGGUCGUAAAGCUCUUUCGCCAGGGAUGAUAAUGACAGUACCUGGUAAAGAAACCCCGGCUAACUCCGUGCCAGCAGCCGCGGUAAUACGGAGGGGGUUAGCGUUGUUCGGAAUUACUGGGCGUAAAGCGCGCGUAGGCGGAUUGGAAAGUUGGGGGUGAAAUCCCAGGGCUCAACCCUGGAACUGCCUCCAAAACUAUCAGUCUAGAGUUCGAGAGAGGUGAGUGGAACUCCGAGUGUAGAGGUGAAAUUCGUAGAUAUUCGGAAGAACACCAGUGGCGAAGGCGGCUCACUGGCUCGAUACUGACGCUGAGGUGCGAAAGUGUGGGGAGCAAACAGGAUUAGAUACCCUGGUAGUCCA
rnacentral:rRNA from 1 species